rnacentral:rRNA from 1 species
AACGUAGGACGCAAGCGUUAUCCGGAGUUACUGGGCGUAAAGAGUGUGUAGGCGGUGCUCUAAGUUCGGUGUGAAAUCUCCCGGCUUAACUGGGAGGGUGCGCCGGAAACUGGAGUGCUCGAGCGUGGGAGAGGAAAGCGGAAGUUCCUGGUGUAGCGGUGAAAUGCGCAGAUAUCAGGAGGAACACCGAUGGCGAAGGCAGGUCUCUGGGCCAUAACUGACGCUGAGAAGCGAAAGCAUGGGGAGCGAACAGG